GGUAGAGCGGAGGACUGUAGUGG
rnacentral:piRNA from 1 species